CCCCUAUGUGCUCCUAAAAGUUUCUAGUCUGAGCAUUUUUAGCUGGUACUUUCAAAAUCACCAGGGUCUGUCAAAGUUGGGUCCUGUGAAAAAUGUACACAGCUAAAUGGAGCAUAUGCUGUCAAUACAGCAGACAGGAUCUAUUACAGUAUCUGAGUGCCCCCUAGCGUAUGUAUCGUUUCUGCCUCAAAUCAACAUUCAAUUCGGAGGAGCCUUCCGACAUGGAAACUGCCUGGGUCUCUCGUCUCUCACAGUGACCAAAGUAGCGUGCGCCCAUUUCUAACUGAUUCAUAUUUAAGAAAAUGUCUUCUUAUUGACUUGGACGUCAUCGAGUUUAUUGUAUUGUUUUAUUGUGGAUUCUACCUGACCACUCCAUUGGUGAAAGAGGAGAUUGUGGGUAAAACACAUGCCUAAAUGGCAAAGACCUGGGCAAAAUGAAAGUGACUGGUGACCUCCACUUGACAGAUCUGCUCCUGGCUUUCCUGAGUGUCAGACUGCUGAGACAUGAAGAAGACCAACCUGCUGACUCAGGAUCCACCUCAACACAGAGGUCCCCCUUUGGCCUUCAGCUCAUCAAUUCAAUUAAUAUGUUCAUUUCAAUAAAGCCAAAAUGGAAAAUUAUCCAUUUAAAAGUAAGGCACUUUCCAUUGAAACAAGGGAAACCCCACAUUUGUGUGGUUGAGCCAUGAAUCAUCAUAUGGCAUGUGUGGCGAUUGCAUUUAGAGAGUGAUCAGAGACAGUACCAAAGACUGGAAACAUCCCAUACUCGGCACUAGAUUUAAUGAGUGCCGAGUUGUAGUAUUUACAACAGUGCCAAAAAGGCUCAGCUAUGUUCAGGAAGCAUGUGAAGUGUCUGCAAUAAAAAAACAUUGUCAAACAAGAUUUGGGAACAAUUACAUAGACAGAUAGUGUAAUGUUUAUAUGAUCCCCCCAAACCAGAGCAGCUGCAGUAACCAGACCAGCAACAUAACCAUGCCCCAUGUGACUACGUCUUUCAUCUAGUUGAGAGGCCAGUAGUUUGUUAAUUUUACAUCAGUUCUCACAAUUUAUCAUGCCUACACUGUGAAACAUUUCAACAAUUGUACUUACAUUGUGGCCAAACGUCUUGAACUUCAGAUGAACAAUUGGACAUUGCUUGUUGUUGACUAGGGUAAUCACUAGCUACCAUGCAUGCAGCUUUGGCUAUUAUGUGUCAUUGCUAUUUUAGAAGUAACCACUGUAAGUUUCUCAUUGCUAGCUAUUUGAACUAACAUUAACGGUAGUUUGUGACAUCCAACCUUUAUGGGUGUGAUGUGAUAUACUAAAUACAUUGGACAUGAAUGCGUAUAAUUUUGUAUCCGGGACAAAACAUUAUUGUGACGGUAUCAGCUGUGCAUGCCGGAGAACUUUCCGCAACACAGUUGUUGGCAAAAAUGUGGGUUUUACACAUCAUAAUUAUCACCUUUAACAGUUGAAGUAGCAAAAAUCUAGGAUGAAGUUGUAUAUCUAAAUAAUUUACUGUACCAGGCAUAGGAAAGGUAAUAUAUUGCAAGUAACUAAAGGAAUGUUAAGGUAAAGCUACAAAAUAACAAUAUUUUAAACUGUCUAGCCACCCUUGAAACUCCUACACAUCUUGUUCGAAAUGGCAGCUCUAUCAAGAUAAUCAUCUGAAUGAAUCUGUUACACCACGACCUAUCAGGCUUGUAAUUAUUCAUUGAGACCCUUCAGGCUAAACCAAAGUAGUGAAUGACCAGGAAGUCACCUUAUUGUCUAUACAACUCAUCAUAUCAGGUCAUAAACUGGCUAAUGCUUCAGGUCAUAUGCUUUUCUUGUUGUAACAUUUGUUAACGUUAGCACCGAUGAGCACAUGAGUAGCAGCAGAUUGCAUAGCUUUUGUCCAAACCAUUUCCUUAUUGUGCAAGAAAUAAUCCUUUAUUCAAUUUAUGUCUGAGGAGGCUUUUUAAAACAUAUUUUCACAAGAUCAGUAGAUCAGUGUUAACUAAUACGACCACUUGGCCCUCUAUGGUCUAGAUUUUCCUUCACGUAUGAAACAUUAGCAGAGCUCACUGCUGAGAAGGGUGUGGCUGUGGCUAUAUCUCUGGGAGAAGGGCACAGCUCCUGACAGAAAGGUAAUGCUGUUGAUACUCUCAUGUCUAGGUCUCAGCGCUACCAGACCAUGGACCCCUUGCUCCCCAUUUAUCCCUCUGUCAAUUUGCAGAUCAUGUAAAAUCAAACUGAAACUGCUGUGAGAAAUGUCUCCAUAUAUUUAAUCCCUGACUGAAAUUACAAGUCAGGUUGGUUUCUCUAAUGAAAUCUUACUCUACAUAAUGAACACAGUGGAAGUCAGCAUUCUCACCAUAGGUAAACAUCCCAAUGACCUUAUUAUACAUUUUGACUUUGUCAGCUUCCUUUUUUAAUGAACUUAGUGUCAAUGACUAAUGUAAACUAAGGGCAUGAAUAGGAAUAUCAACAGUACACAAAUAGGAUUCAUUACAGGAUUUGGGUCACACUGCUCAUAGACUUAGGGCUCUAUUCAAUCCGCAUCGCAGAAGUUCAGCUUUACAGCGUGAAUGAAAUUUAAAGGCAAUGUUCCCGCCUCAGUGGAGACUGCUUUCACAGUAAACACUGCAUCAAUCAGAAAUUACCUUUACAUUUCUAUUGCGGAAUCUGUAGUGCUUCAGCCUUACAUAUUCAAUAGAGCCCUUAGGCUGUUACUUGUUCAAAAUGUACAACUCAGGUCACGCUUGAAAAAUGUCUUUAAACAAAGAGAAAUGCUGAACUUUGUCAAGCACCAUGUGUAGGCUAGAAUACCCAUUCUGACAUAGCAGUUGUAUUCUGCAAUUGCGUAAAUUAUGUUGACCUGUAGAUGAACAAAGAAAUAUGAAAAGACUUUGUACAGAAUUCCUGUGCAAUGAGUCACCUUCUCUCAUGUAAUUGUUUCCAUAUUAGACCCCACUCACCCCUUCUUGCAAGAACAUCCCU
ensembl:lncRNA